ACUGCCCCUUUUUUUGCCUGCGAAUGGCGGCGAUUUGAAGUUGGGGCUUUUCGUUUCCUCCAAAACAUUGAUAUCUGGAAAGGGAGCCCCUUAACACUUUUGGAGGGAACUGGCUGCAGCAUUUGGCGGGGAGAGAUAAACUGGUUUCCCACCUCUGCUUACUCCCACCUUCUCCCCUUAAUCUUCUCUUCCUCUGUGCGAGACUUUUUUCCUUUUUUAUUGUAGACACAGGGUCUUUGUUCUGCUGCCCAGGUUGGAGUGCAGUGGCGUGAUCAUAGCUCACUGCAGCCUCAACCCCCCGGGCCCAAGCGAUCCUUCCACCUCAGCCUCCCGAGUAGCUGGGCCUAGAGGUGCACACCACCAUGCCUGGCUAAUUUUUAAUUUUUUUUGUAGAGAUGGAGCCUUUCUAUGUUGCCAAGCCUAGCCUCGAACUCCUGGCCUCCCAAAAUGUGGGGAAUACAGGCGUGAGCCACUGCACCCCGGGUCAUUCCUCUUUUACUUCCUUGCUGUACCCCAACUAUCCUUCCCCCUCGGUGCCCUUAAAACCUUUGCAUUGGGUAAGUACAUUUUUUAAAGAGACUCUAGAAUUGGGCGCCAGUCUCCAAUUAAAAUUGUGAAGCUUUAUGGUCUGCGUAUCAAAAGGAACCUCAGUUCCUUAAAAAUCCUGUCAUUUUGCCUUUAGGACUUAACGGUAAUAGAAUGGCAUUCCUCACUGCCUCCGAACCACUCAAGCUGCUGCCCAUGCACUCUCUUCUGCAUGGCUCCUGGACUAAGCAGCCUCCCUUUGAUUAAGCAGAGACAAGAAUCUCACUCUGUCAUCUGUGGCAAGAUCAUCUUACUGAGGCCUCAAACUCCCGGGCUCCAGCGAUCCCCCUCGGGCCUCUCAGCCUCCUGCGUAGCUAGAACUACAGGAAUGUGCCAGCAUGCCUAGCUAAUUUUUUUUUUUUUUUUGAGACAGAAUUUUGCUCUUGUUGCCCAGGCUGGAGUGCAAUGGUGUGAUCUCUGCUCACCGUAACCUCCAUAUCCUGGGUUCAAGCAAUUCUUCUGCCUCAGCCUCCCAAGUAGCUGGGAUUACAGGUGCCUGCCACUAAACCAGGCUAAUUUUUGUAUUUUUAGCAGAGAUGGGGUUUCACCAUGUUGGACAGGCUAGCUAGUCUCGAACUCCUAACCUCAGGUGAUCAACCUGCCUCAGCCUCCCAAAGUGCUGGGAUUACAGGCAUAAGCCACCAUGCCCAACCAUGCCCAGCUAAUUUUAAAAUUUUGUGUAGGGAUGGGGUCUCACUAUGUUGCCCACGCUGGUCUCAAACUCCUGGCCUCAAGCAAACCUCCUUACUUGACCUCGCAAAGUGCUGGAAUUACAGGCAUGAGCCACCGCGCCUGGUCUUCAGCCACAUUUAUCUAACAGGAAAACACAGCAACUAACCAAGACUCCGCAAAAUUCUAUUCAUCCCACUGGGCUCCGACUCAGGAAUUGUUUCCAAAUACUGGAUGGCCCGGAUCUCAAACAAACCUACAAGGAA
rnacentral:lncRNA from 1 species